rnacentral:rRNA from 1 species
AUUGAACGCUGGCGGCAGGCCUAACACAUGCAAGUCGAGCGGAUGAAGGGAGCUUGCUCCUGGAUUCAGCGGCGGACGGGUGAGUAAUGCCUAGGAAUCUGCCUGGUAGUGGGGGAUAACGUCCGGAAACGGGCGCUAAUACCGCAUACGUCCUGAGGGAGAAAGUGGGGGAUCUUCGGACCUCACGCUAUCAGAUGAGCCUAGGUCGGAUUAGCUAGUUGGUGGGGUAAAGGCCUACCAAGGCGACGAUCCGUAACUGGUCUGAGAGGAUGAUCAGUCACACUGGAACUGAGACACGGUCCAGACUCCUACGGGAGGCAGCAGUGGGGAAUAUUGGACAAUGGGCGAAAGCCUGAUCCAGCCAUGCCGCGUGUGUGAAGAAGGUCUGCGGAUUGUAAAGCACUUUAAGUUGGGAGGAAGGGCAGUAAGUUAAUACCUUGCUGUUUUGACGGUACCAACAGAAUAAGCACCGGCUAACUUCGUG